rnacentral:rRNA from 1 species
AUUGAACGCUGGCGGCAGGCCUAACACAUGCAAGUCGAGCGGAUGAAGGGAGCUUGCUCCUGGAUUCAGCGGCGGACGGGUGAGUAAUGCCUAGGAAUCUGCCUGGUAGUGGGGGAUAACGUCCGGAAACGGGCGCUAAUACCGCAUACGUCCUGAGGGAGAAAGUGGGGGAUCUUCGGACCUCACGCUAUCAGAUGAGCCUAGGUCGGACUAGCUAGUUGGUGGGGUAAAGGCCUACCAAGGCGACGAUCCGUAACUGGUCUGAGAGGAUGAUCAGUCACACUGGAACUGAGACACGGUCCAGACUCCUACGGGAGGCAGCAGUGGGGAAUAUUGGACAAUGGGCGAAAGCCUGAUCCAGCCAUGCCGCGUGUGUGAAGAAGGUCUUCGGAUUGUAAAGCACUUUAAGUUGGGAGGAAGGGCAGUAAGUUAAUACCUUGCUGUUUUGACGUUACCAACAGAAUAAGCACCGGCUAACUUCGU